AUGUUGACCAGGUUGGUCUCGAUCUCUCGACCUCGUGAUCCACCUGCCUCGCCCUCCCAAAGUGCUGGGAUUACACGCAUGAGCCACCGUGCCCGGCCUUAUUCUCUUGUCUUUAUGGUGAGUUUCACCAGGCAAAGUCUGAGGUGUGGAAUGCAACCAGAAGCAUGCUGCUUGCUGUGGGCAAUGGAAUGUGAGUGGAAGUCACAUGUCACUUCGGGAUGGAGGCCUUCAGAGCAGGACAUUUGCCCCUCUGCUAGCUGCCUGUUGAGAUACCCACAUGGCAAGGAACUGGAGAAGGCCUUUGGCCAAUGGCCAGUGAGGAACUGA
rnacentral:lncRNA from 1 species